CGAACGUGAAGCAUCCUUCGGGAUGUGGAAAGUGGCAGACGGGUGAGUAACGCGUGGGAAUUUACCUAAUGGUACGGAAUAGCUCAGGGAAACUUGGAUUAAUACCGUAUAAGCCCUCCGGGGGAAAGAUUUAUCGCCAUUAGAGGAGCCCGCGUUAGAUUAGCUUGUUGGUGAGGUAAUGGCUCACCAAGGCUACGAUCUAUAGCUGGUCUGAGAGGAUGAUCAGCCACACUGGGACUGAGACACGGCCCAGACUCCUACGGGAGGCAGCAGUGGGGAAUAUUGCACAAUGGGCGAAAGCCUGAUGCAGCCAUGCCGCGUGAGUGAUGAAGGCCUUAGGGUUGUAAAGCUCUUUCACCGGUGAAGAUAAUGACGGUAGCCGGAGAAGAAGCCCCGGCUAACUCCGUGCCAGCAGCCGCGGUAAUACGGAGGGGGCUAGCGUUGUUCGGAAUUACUGGGCGUAAAGCGCACGUAGGCGGAUUUGUAAGUUGGGGGUGAAAGCCCAAGGCUCAACCUUGGAAUUGCCUUCGAUACUGCGAAUCUAGAGUCCGGAAGAGGUGAGUGGAAUUCCUAGUGUAGAGGUGAAAUUCGUAGAUAUUAGGAAGAACACCAGUGGCGAA
rnacentral:rRNA from 1 species